rnacentral:rRNA from 1 species
ACGAUCUACAAGGUGCUGCAUGGUUGUCGUCAGCUCGUGCCGUGAGGUGUCGGGUUAAGUCCCAUAACGAGCGCAACCCUUAUCGUUAGUUGCCAGCGGGUAAUGCCGGGGACUCUAACGAAACUGCCGGUGUAAACCGUGAGGAAGUGGGGAUGACGUCAAAUCAGCACGGCCCUUAUGUCCAGGGCGACACACGUGUUACAAUGGCCGGUACAGAGGGCAGCUACCUGGUGACAGGAUGCAAAUCUCCAAAACCGGUCUCAGUUCGGAUCGAAGUCUGCAACUCGACUUCGUGAAGCUGGAUUCGCUAGUAAUCGCGCAUCAGCCAUGGCGCGGUGAAUACGUUCCCGGGCCUU